rnacentral:rRNA from 1 species
UACAGAGGGGGCCAGCGUUAUUCGGAAUUAUUGGGCGUAAAGGGUGCGUAGGCGGUGUCGCAAGUCAGGUGUGAAAUCUCGGGGCUUAACCCCGAAACUGCAUUUGAUACUGCGGUGCUUGAGGACUGGAGAGGAGACUGGAAUUCAUGGUGUAGCAGUGAAAUGCGUAGAGAUCAUGAGGAAGACCAGUGGCGAAGGCGGGUCUCUGGACAGUUCCUGACACUGAGGCACGAAGGCUAGGGGAGCGAACGGG